AUUGAACGCUGGCGGCAUGCUUUACACAUGCAAGUCGAACGGUAACAGGCCGCAAGGUGCUGACGAGUGGCGAACGGGUGAGUAAUGCAUCGGAACGUGCCCAGUCGUGGGGGAUAACGCAGCGAAAGCUGCGCUAAUACCGCAUACGAUCUCUGGAUGAAAGCGGGGGACCGAAAGGCCUCGCGCGAUUGGAGCGGCCGAUGUCAGAUUAGGUAGUUGGUGGGGUAAAGGCCCACCAAGCCAACGAUCUGUAGCUGGUCUGAGAGGACGACCAGCCAAACUGGGACUGAGACACGGCCCAGACUCCUACGGGAGGCAGCAGCGGGGAAUUUUGGACAAUGGGCGCAAGCCUGAUCCAGCAAUGCCGCGUGCAGGAAGAAGGCCUUCGGGUUGUAAACUGCUUUUGUACGGAACGAAACGGUCCGGGUUAAUACCCUGGGUUAAUGACGGUACCGUAAGGAUAAGCACCGGCUAACUACGUGCCAGCAGCCGCCGUAAAAC
rnacentral:rRNA from 1 species